UCCACAGGUACAGGCAGCCCAGCAAGCCAGGGAAAGAUUUCCAAGCCGACAGAUGCGCGAACUGAAAAAGGAGAUGCAGGAUCUAUGGCGGGAAGGCCUGGGAGUGCGGGGAAGCUCCCCACGCCCUCGGAUUCCGCCUGACUUCUCGGGUCUGCCCAGCUUCUCCACCACGAGGGGCUCGCUCCGCUCCGAAGCGGCACCCAGCACCUUCGCGGUCCACCGCACCGCUGCCCACCUGGUUUCCUGCCAGGGCUCCCGCCCACCGCACGGUGACUGACAGGCAGGCUCGGGCGGACGACCCCUCCGCGGGAAGACACCCCACGCCUAACUUUGAGACGCGGUCCCCCCACCCCGCUCUCCUCAGCGGCGCCCGGACCGCCGCCCCCUCCCCCGGCUCCUCACGCCGCUUCCCACCUCCAGCCCCGGGCUCCCCGCGCGAGCUCGCGCCCCCGGCUCCCGGGCCUGCAAGGGGGCUGGAGACAAAGGCUGCGGCGGCGGCGCGGCGGCCGCCAGGACCGUCCCCUCGGGGCCAGCGCCGCCCCCACCCCACCGGCCCGCGCGCCGCGGCUUCGCCUCGCCUCACCCGGGGUUCUCGGCCCGCGGCUCCCGCGCCGGCCGCAGCUUCAGCCCGACGAACAAUGGCAGGAGGCGGCGCCCGCGUCCGAGGCUCCGGCC
rnacentral:lncRNA from 1 species